rnacentral:sRNA from 1 species
AGUAUAAAAAUUGUCAACUAUGUAUCUUAAAUUUUAUGAUUAAAAAAGACCUUUCAUUCCUAUUUCAAUGCGUUGCAUUUAAAUUAAAGAAAUGGGAGAAAAUUGCAAUCAACAUCAAUAAUGCCAAGGCAAUUGUAUCUAUAUUUCAUUCUUUUGUUUAAAAUUUUAAAAAAGUUCAAAAAGAACGGAACGAGUUUUUACGGCCAAUGCAAUCUGCACUAAAAUUCUAUUGAGGAAAGCAAGGCGAUUUAAUAUAACUCCCCUAUUAGAGCCCAUGAAUGAUGAAGAAAACCAUCGGGUCAAUCCGGAUAUUAAAGAGAUCACGUGAGGAAUGUGAGUCACCCACCAAUAGGCGUCUCUCAAUGUGGUAUCAAUUUUGCAAAUAUACCAAACUCAGACAUGGCUUGAAAUAAGUUUGAACGUAUAGGGCUGUCGAAAGUGACUUUUUAGUCGACGAAAAGAUGGUAAGAGUCGAUCUGUCCUAGUAGCCAUCUAAGGCAAGGCAACUUAGGAAUACAAACCAAGCAGACGAAAGAUAAAACAUAGCGCACUGGUACAACAAAAACAACCCAUUCAUAUGUUUCCGCAGGUUUCUGAUGGUGGAAUGCUUUAUACAGAGUAGCUGCAACUCCAGUCGAGGACAAUCAGAGAAACGCCGGACGGCACCGGCUCUCGCAUAAAUACAGAGUGCCUAGGGUGCUCGAUAUGACGAAGCGAGUAAUUGGCUCCUCUAAGUAACAAAUGCCAUCACGUUCCCGCGGCUUUCAGUUCUUUGGACCGGAACAAGGUUGUUCACCUGCAGCAGCCUGACGAGGAUCGCUACGUCCAUUUUUAGACAUGUGGGUACAACAACAAUAUUUAUUCUUCUUUUCCAAAAUAAUACGAAAUCAUCAUGUAAUUAAAACAAUUUUUUUUUUCA